rnacentral:rRNA from 1 species
AACGCUGGCGGCGUGCCUAAUACAUGCAAGUCGAACGGUCUUUCUAUGGAAGCUUGCUUCCACUGAGAAGAUAGUGGCGAACGGGUGAGUAACACGUGGGUAACCUGCCCAUAAGAGGGGGGAUAACAUCCGGAAACGGGUGCUAAUACCGCAUAGUUUCUUGAUCGCAUGAUCGGGAAAGGAAAGACGGCCUUUGUGCUGUCGCUUAUGGAUGGACCCGCGGCGUAUUAGUUAGUUGGUGAGGUAACGGCUCACCAAGACGAUGAUACGUAGCCGACCUGAGAGGGUGAUCGGCCACAUUGGGACUGAGACACGGCCCAAACUCCUACGGGAGGCAGCAGUAGGGAAUCUUCCGCAAUGGACGAAAGUCUGACGGAGCAACGCCGCGUGAGUGAAGAAAAGGUUUUCGGAUCGUAAAACUCUGUUGUCAGAGAAGAACAAGUUGGAGAGUAACUGCUCCAGCCUUGACGGUAUCUGACCAGAAAGCCACGGCUAACUACGUGCCAGCCGCCGC